UACAGAGGUCUCAAGCGUUGUUCGGAUUCAUUGGGCGUAAAGGGUGCGUAGGUGGCGCCGUAAGUCGGGUGUGAAAUUUCGGAGCUUAACUCCGAAACUGCAUUCGAUACUGCGGUGCUUGAGGACUGGAGAGGAGACUGGAAUUCAUGGUGUAGCAGUGAAAUGCGUAGAGAUCAUGAGGAAGACCAGUGGCGAAGCGGGUCUCUGGACAGUUCCUGACACUGAGGCACGAAGGCCAGGGGAGCAAACGGG
rnacentral:rRNA from 1 species